UGGAAGCGUCUGGAAAGGCGCGCGAUACAGGGUGACAGCCCCGUACACAAAAAUGCACAUGCUGUGAGCUCGAUGAGUAGGGCGGGACACGUGGUAUCCUGUCUGAAUAUGGGGGGACCAUCCUCCAAGGCUAAAUACUCCUGACUGACCGAUAGUGAACCAGUACCGUGAGGGAAAGGCGAAAAGAACCCCGGCGAGGGGAGUGAAAAAGAACCUGAAACCGUGUACGUACAAGCAGUGGGAGCCUCUUUUAUGGGGUGACUGCGUACCUUUUGUAUAAUGGGUCAGCGACUUAUAUUCUGUAGCAAGGUUAACCGAAUAGGGGAGCCGAAGGGAAACCGAGUCUUAACUGGGCGUUAAGUUGCAGGGUAUAGACCCGAAACCCGGUGAUCUAGCCAUGGGCAGGUUGAAGGUUGGGUAACACUAACUGGAGGACCGAACCGACUAAUGUUGAAAAAUUAGCGGAUGACUUGUGGCUGGGGGUGAAAGGCCAAUCAAACCGGGAGAUAGCUGGUUCUCCCCGAAAGCUAUUUAGGUAGCGCCUCGUGAAUUCAUCUCCGGGGGUAGAGCACUGUUUCGGCAAGGGGGUCAUCCCGACUUACCAACCCGAUGCAAACUGCGAAUACCGGAGAAUGUUAUCACGGGAGACACACGGCGGGUGCUAACGUCCGUCGUGAAGAGGGAAACAACCCAGACCGCCAGCUAAGGUCCCAAAGUCAUGGUUAAGUGGGAAACGAUGUGGGAAGGCCCAGACAGCCAGGAUGUUGGCUUAGAAGCAGCCAUCAUUUAAAGAAAGCGUAAUAGCUCACUGGUCGAGUCGGCCUGCGCGGAAGAUGUAACGGGGCUAAA
rnacentral:rRNA from 1 species